GGAAAAGCAUAUAUUACUAUUGUAUACAGAUUUACAUAAAAGUAAUCACAAAUGAAGAUGCAAAUAACGUGUUGGAAUGUUAUGACUUCGAAAAAAGUCUUAUAAGCAUAAUGCGUAUUACAAAUCAGUUUUUAUUACAAGCUCUUAUGUUAUAUAAGGAAAAGAAUUUUUUUUUAUCAAAUAAAAAUUUGAUAGAAAAGAAAAUAAAGAGUGAAUACGAAAAAGAAACAAAAAAGAACGUAGAAAAAGAUUCACAAGUAGAACAUUUUGUUAAAGAAGAUGACGAGGAAGAUAUAGAUUUAAAUAAGAUAUGUUUAAAAUUAUUAAUUAUAUGUUCAAGAAUUGUUGAGUUACGUAAAUAUAUGCGAAACGAUUUAGUAGCUUAUUAUUUUAUAAAUAUACUAUCAAAUGAAAAUGAAUUAUAUAAUGAGUUAAAUAUUGAUUAUGAUAUUUUGAUUGAAAGGACUUGGUGUGCUGAUAUAGAUAAUAUUUUUAAAACAAUAAUGCAAAAAAAAAUAACUAAAAAUAAAAAAGUAUGUUUUCGUCUUUUAAUUGCUAUAGCUGAUAUAUUUAGUGGUUAUUUUUAUUCAUUUAAAACGGAUUUAAACAUGAACAUUUUAGAUUUAUGUGAUCUUGAACAUAAACAUUGGGAUAGAAAAAAAAUUUGUAACUAUUUUUUUUUAAUGAAUAAUGAUGAUAAAAAUGACUACAAAAAACAGUUGCUUAAUUUUUUAAACAAAUAUAUUAUGUAUUUGUUAAACCUUGUUGGUACUUUUAUCGAAACAGAUAUUUUUAGUGAUUUAAAAAAAGAACAACAAGAAGAAUAUUUUCCAGGGGUGUUAAAAUAUUAUAUACUGAAAUUAGAAAAAAAAAUUAAAAACUUAAAAAAAAAAGAAAAAGACAUAAGAGACAAACUUGACGAAAUAGUUAAACAUGAUGACAUAGUUAAACAUGAUGUCGUUGUUAAUGGAGCAGACGAGCCUAUCAGCAAAACCACUUAUUCUACCACUCGUGUACGAGCCAUUAAAAAAUUACACGAAGAUCUUGAACAUAUUCACAAAAAAAAAGAAAAAUUGUUUUUACUAUUAUAUAACAAUAAUUU
rnacentral:lncRNA from 1 species